rnacentral:rRNA from 1 species
AGUGAACGCUGGCGGUAGGCCUAACACAUGCAAGUCGAACGGCAGCACAGUAAGAGCUUGCUCUUACGGGUGGCGAGUGGCGGACGGGUGAGGAAUACAUCGGAAUCUACUUUUUCGUGGGGGAUAACGUAGGGAAACUUACGCUAAUACCGCAUACGACCUACGGGUGAAAGCAGGGGAUCUUCGGACCUUGCGCGAUUGAAUGAGCCGCUGUGGGAUUGGCUAGUUGGCUGGGUAAAGGCCCACCAAGGCGACGAUCCGUAGCUGGUCGGAGAGGAUGGUAGGCCACAUUGGAAGUUAGACACGGUCCAGGCUACUACGGGAGGGAGCAGUGGGGAAUAUUGGGCAAUGGGGGGAAGUAUGGUACAGCGAUAGCGCGUGGGUGAAAGAGGCCUUCGGUUUGUGAAGCCCUUUUGUUGGGAAAGAAAAGCAGCAGGUUAAUACCCAGCUGUUCUGACGGUACCCAAAGAAUAAGCACCGGCUAACUUCGUG